rnacentral:rRNA from 1 species
AGCGAACGCUGGCGGCAGGCUUAACACAUGCAAGUCGAACGCCCCGCAAGGGGAGUGGCAGACGGGUGAGUAACACGUGGGAACGUACCCUUUGGUUCGGAAUAACUUGGGGAAACUCAAGCUAAUACCGGAUAAGCCCUUAUGGGGAAAGGUUUACUGCCGAAGGAUCGGCCCGCGUCUGAUUAGCUAGUUGGUGAGGUAAUGGCUCACCAAGGCGACGAUCAGUAGCUGGUCUGAGAGGAUGGUCAGCCACACUGGGACUGAGACACGGCCCAGACUCCUACGGGAGGCAGCAGUGGGGAAUAUUGGACAAUGGGGGCAACCCUGAUCCAGCCAUGCCGCGUGAGCGAUGAAGGCCUUAGGGUUGUAAAGCUCUUUUACCCGGGACGAUAAUGACUGUACCGGGAGAAUAAGCCCCGGCUAACUUCGUGCCAGCAGCCGCGGAA